CCCGUGCCGUCAGCCAGCCACAUCCCCGCCGCGCGGCCUCGCCCCCCACCCGCCGAGGGAUCUCUGGAUCUGGGCGGCCUCGGCGCUCGCGGCUCCAACGCCACCUCCCCUUCCCACGCCGCUGCGCCGUGUCCCGCCGCACUAGUGACCAGGCGUCGUCGGGCCCAGCCCUCACCCCGCCGCCCUCGCAGGCGCCUCCCUCGCCUUCAGGGGUCGCCGCGCAACCCUCGUCCCGCCGCCCUCGGAGCUCUCGGCGGUAGAUCGACCCCGUCCUCCGCCCCCGCGCCCGCGCCUGCGCUGAAGAGACUACCAAAUAUCUUCGUGAACAGGACUUGAACACAGGUUUGGUGCAAUGGCGAAUAUGAACAUAACUCGCAUCUUGGAGAAGAUGACAGGGAAAGAUAAAGACUACAGAUAUAUGGCCACAUCUGAUCUGCUUAAUGAGUUGAACAAAGAGAGUUUCAAAGCAGACCAAGACCUUGAAUCAAAGUUGACUAACAUUGUUCUUCAACAACUUGAAGAUGCUUCAGGAGAUGUUUCUGGUUUAGCUGUGAAAUGGAACUGCAUCCAUGCCUCCAGAAUGGCCGCAGGGCUAUCAUCAGCGUCGUCGAUCUAACAACCGAUUCUUCUGAGAAAGGACUUAAGGUACUCAACCUAUUGAUGCACAUGGACAUGAUGACUCUCUAGCGUUUAUGGACCAACCAACCUGUAAUUAUGGACCUUAUUGUCUUGUAGACCAUUUGGUGUUUCGAGUGUUUUGGAGCUUGCACUUUGUGCAUGUAGAUACAAACUUGUGUGUUCUGGACCAUCUGAAGUCUCUCAUAGUAACCAAUAGUCCUUAUCUUUU